UGAACGGCCACAUUGGGACUGAGACACGGCCCAGACUCCUACGGGAGGCAGCAGUGGGGAAUAUUGCACAAUGGGGGAAACCCUGAUGCAGCGACGCCGCGUGGAGGAAGAAGGUCUUCGGAUUGUAAACUCCUGUUGUUGGGGAAAAGAAGGAUGGUACCCAACAAGGAAGUGACGGCUAACUACGUGCCAGCAGCCGCGGUAAAACGUAGGUCACGAGCGUUGUCCGGAAUUACUGGGUGUAAAGGGAGCGCAGGCGGGUAUGCAAGUUGGGAGUGAAAUGCAUGGGCUCAACCCAUGAACUGCUCUCAAAACUGUGUAUCUUGAGUAGUGCAGAGGUAGGCGGAAUUCCCGGUGUAGCGGUGGAAUGCGUAGAUAUCGGGAGGAACACCAGUGGCGAAGGCGGCCUACUGGGCACCAACUGACGCUGAGGCUCGAAAGUGUGGGUAGCAAACAGGAUUAGAUACCCUGGUAGUCCACACCGUAAACGAUGAUUACUAGGUGUUGGAGGAUAGACCCCUUC
rnacentral:rRNA from 1 species